GCCGAAAUAGUUUCAGUUGGGGAGAGCGUUAGACUGAAGAUCUAAGGUCCCUGGUUCAAUCCCGGGUUUCGGCA
rnacentral:tRNA from 1 species